rnacentral:lncRNA from 1 species
GGCAGGAUGACCAGUAGAUGUUAAAUAUAUUAAAAUAUAACUUAGAUACACAAUAAGUAUACAUGACCAAAACGUUAUUUUGCUGGAAUACAAGGUUUUUCAAGGAUGAAUGUUGAAAAUUAUUUUUGUAUGUAUUUUGAAAAAUAAAAAGCUAUUAUAAAAAAUGCAGCACAACAUAGAUAAUGUUAAUUUGUGGUUUUCUAAAUCAAUAAAUAUAUGGCCAGCAACCAUCAUUUCUGAGUUUGACCCCACUGGUCUAGAUGACACCAAGUUCCUUUUCAGCUUUAAAUCUCUUAAAUUGUUUAUCUUAUGAUCCUCCCUCAAAAACACUGGCUGCUAGCCACAGGGAACCCAGCCUCAAUUCACAGGGUUUCCAGAGCAACAGUUUUUUUUUUUUUUUUUUUUUAUUUAAUAGCCUUUAAUUUACAGGAUAUAUAUAUGGGUAACUUUACAGCAUUAACAAUUGCCAAACCUCUUGUUCCAAUUUUUCACCUCUUACCCCCCCCCCCCUCCCCUAAAUGGCAGGAUGACCAGUAGAUGUUAAAUAUAUUAAAAUAUAACUUAGAUACACAAUAAGUAUACAUGACCAAAACGUUAUUUUGCUGGAAUACAAGGUUUUUCAAGGAUGAAUGUUGAAAAUUAUUUUUGUAUGUAUUUUGAAAAAUAAAAAGCUAUUAUAAAAAAUGCAGCACAACAUAGAUAAUGUUAAUUUGUGGUUUUCUAAAUCAAUAAAUAUAUGGCCAGCAACCAUCAUUUCUGAGUUUGACCCCACUGGUCUAGAUGACACCAAGUUCCUUUUCAGCUUUAAAUCUCUUAAAUUGUUUAUCUUAUGAUCCUCCCUCAAAAACACUGGCUGCUAGCCACAGGGAACCCAGCCUCAAUUCACAGGGUUUCCAGAGCAACAGUAAUCAAAAUCUCCUCACUGUCCCCUGGGGCUGCCAGCCUAGCAGGCAAGAAGUACUGCUGAAUGAAUGAGAUCAGAAAAAAGAGGGAAAGGAAGGAGGAAAAGGCAAAGGAAAAGUCAACAGACAGGAAGAAGCCAGAGGAGGGCUGGUCAAGUGGACUCUGAGGAGAAUGAGCCUGAAGGAGAGCCCUGUUUGCUUCUGGACUGUUCUACUGUGAGGAGGAGACUGAACAGGUCCAGGUUGUUGUUUGCUGAGAAGCAAAGGGUGCUUGAGGGAGAUAGAGUGGAGUUGGUACCAUAACAGAUCUUGAAAGAGAAGCUCAGGAAAGAAAGUCUCCAGUUCCUAAAGGUAAAGAGGGAGGAUGCGCCCAGGACCCCAGUGGGCCUCUCAGCGCGGGAGGUCGGGGGUUGCCGGGACGGGGCGGGCAGUGCAAUGACUUGUCUUUCCCACGAGUAUUUUCUCUCCCCAGGCACGCGGAGCCCCGUCCUGCCCGGAGGGCCCAGUACCAUGAACCCCCCGGGCGCGCCGCCGGCCCCAGGAUGGGAGCUCCCGGCCGUGGUGGCCAUCGCCGCCUUCGGCCUGGUCUGUCUGCUCUACCUGCUGGCCUUCCUGUCCUCGCUGUGCUGUGGGCGCUGCGGCCCCGCGCGGCCCGCCGGGGGCCAGCUCUGCGAGGAGAGCGAGGAGGCCACCUUCCACCCCUCCUCCCCGCCCGGAGGCCCCCCGGCUCUGCCCGGCGGGGCCGCCGCUCCCCAGCAGGCGUCCUAAGGCCGCGCCGCCUCGCGGCCUCCGUAAGCCUCCGCUGCGCGCCGGACCCUUGGACUAGGCCGGGCGAGGGGGGUGCUUGGGGGCGGCCGCUGCCCUUAGGAGAGACAUUCCCAAGGGCGGAGAGGGAGCGUAAGGGGGGGGGGGGCCUGGGGCAGCGACCUGCCGGGGCUCACCCGGAGUAGGGGCCCCUAAAAGGGCGCGGCGUUAAUCAGCCGCCGUGGUGGCGAGGGAGGGGGAGAAGGAGCCGCCGUUCUGGGCCUGUUUCCCUGAGGGAAGGACCAAGGGCACUGGCUCCGAGGGGAACCCCGGAGAGGACACUUCUAGGCCUCGGGCGGAACGACGGGGAACGUGACCGGCUCCUUUUGCUCCUGGAUUUGAGCGACAGACGGCCGGGCCGCAGCGCCCACCGGAAAUAAACCCCCUUCCCCCUUCUGGCCCUGAGCCGCGGAGGCACGCGUUUCCGGAGUGGGGCCCGGCCGGAAAUUAGAGAAUAAGAGAUCUGGCCAGGAUAGCUCCAGUCAGAUUGAGCCCGCACGUGCGCCCCCCCCCCCCCGGCGUCUGACCGUCAGAAGGGCUUAUGGCAAGAGCGCCGUCUCCCCCCCGUUCUCAUCAGCGCCGCGGCCCAGCUUGGUCCUUCGCUGCCCUUCACGCGAGUUACGGCUUAGCGCCCGGAAACUCCUCAGUCCCGCACGACGCCGGCUCGCUGGUCCAAGGGCUGCAGCUUCCCCUCGGACUCACUGUGAGAACCGGUCUCCCUUCCCCGCCCGGUCCCUCGGAUGAGAGAAUAGUGCAUUCGCAGCCCCUGCUACAAACCUGGGAAAGUGUCUUUGGAAGGGGGAAGUAAGGACACAGAAUGGCUGCAUUGCACCUAGACUCCAUGACGGCGGAAAAUCACUGCUGUGGCAGACGUGCAUGUUUUACAAAUUCCAUCUAAAUACAGCCUAUGUCUAGUUCUGCCUUUAUGUGUAAAUGACAAAUUGGGCAUAAGAACUGUGCUUUGCCUUUGUCCCAAAAAGUGGGGUAUGAUGUGGCCGUGUCCUUUUGCUGUAGUCAUGUCCAAAUAUGGCAAAAUAUUGCAACAAAAUAUUGCAGUUUAUUAAAAUUUGUUGUCCGUCG